rnacentral:rRNA from 1 species
GACGAACGCUGGCGGCGUGCUUAACACAUGCAAGUCGAACGGAAAGGCCCUGCUUUUGUGGGGUGCUCGAGUGGCGAACGGGUGAGUAACCCGUGAGUAACCUGCCCUUGACUUUGGGAUAACUUCAGGAAACUGGGGCUAAUACCGGAUAGGAGCUCCUGCUGCAUGGUGGGGGUUGGAAAGUUUAGGCGGUUGGGGAUGGACUCGCGGCUUAUCAGCUUGUUGGUGGGGGAGUGGCUUACCAAGGCUUGGACGGGUAGCCGGCCUGAGAGGGUGACCGGCGACAUGGGGACUGAGAGACGGACCAGACUCCUACGGGAGGCAGCAGUGGGGAGUAUUGCACAAUGGGCGGAAGCCUGAUACAACAGCGCCGCGUGCGGGAUGACGGCCUUCGGGUUGGAAACCGCUUUAGCCUGUGACGAAGCGUGAGUGACGGUAAUGGGUAAAGAAGCACCGGCUAACUACGUG